CAACUCGCCUACAUGAAGUCGGAAUCGCUAGUAAUCGCGGAUCAGCAUGCCGCGGUGAAUACGUUCCCGGGCCUUGUACACACCGCCCGUCACACCAUGAGAGUUUGUAACACCCAAAGCCGGUGGGGUAACCUUUUGGAGCCAGCCGUCUAAGGUGGGACAGAUGAUUGGGGGUGAAGUCGUAACAAGGUAAC
rnacentral:rRNA from 1 species